UGAGGAAUAUUGCGCAAUGGGGGAAACCCUGACGCAGCAACGCCGCGUGGGUGAAGAAGGCCUUCGGGUCGUAAAGCCCUUUCGGACGGGACGAACGCUUCGCGGUGAAAGCCGCGAAGUCUGACGGUACCGUAGGAAGAAGCACCGGCUAACUCCGUGCCAGCAGCCGCGGUAAUACGGAGGGUGCGAGCGUUGUUCGGAAUUACUGGGCGUAAAGCGCGUGUAGGCGGCCUUGCAAGUCAGGCGUGAAAGCCCUCGGCUUAACCGGGGAAGUGCGUCUGAAACUGCUUGGCUCGAGUACGGGAGAGGGAGGCGGAAUUCCCAGUGUAGAGGUGAAAUUCGUAGAUAUUGGGAGGAACACCGGUGGCGAAAGCGGCCUCCUGGACCGAUACUGACGCUGAGACGCGAAAGCGUGGGGAGCAAACAGGAUUAGAUACCCUGGUAGUCCACGCGGUAAACGAUGGGCACUAGGUGUGGGGGGUAUCCACUCCUCCCGUGCCGAAGCUAACGCAUUAAGUGCCCCGCCUGGGGAGUACGGCCGCAAGGUUA
rnacentral:rRNA from 1 species